GACGAACGCUGGCGGCGUGCUUAACACAUGCAAGUCGAACGGAAAGGCCCUGCUUUUGCGGGGUGCUCGAGUGGCGAACGGGUGAGAAACACGGGAGUAACCUGCGCUUGACUUUGGGAUAACUUGAGGAAACUGGGGAUAAUACAGGAUAGGAGCUCCUGAUGCAGGGUGGGGGUUGGAAAGUAUCGGCGGUUGGGGAUGGACGCGCGGCUUAUGAGCUUGUUGGGGGGGUAGUUGCUUACCAAGGGAUUGACGGGUAGCCGGCCUGAGAGGGUGAACGGCCACAUUGGGACUGAGAUACGGCCCAGACUGCUACGGGGGGCAGCAGUGGGGAAUAUUGCACAAUGGGCGGAAGCCUGAUGCAGCGACGCCGCGUGCGGGAUGACGGCCUUCGGGUUGUAAACCGCUUUCGCCUGUGACGAAGCGUGAGUGACGGUAAUGGGUAAAGAAGCACCGGCUAACUACGUG
rnacentral:rRNA from 1 species